rnacentral:rRNA from 1 species
UGGCGGACGGGUGAGUAAUGCUUGGGAAUCUAGCUUAUGGAGGGGGAUAACUACGGGAAACUGUAGCUAAUACCGCGUAAUAUCGAAAGAUUAAAGUGUGGGACCUUCGGGCCACAUGCCAUAGGAUGAGCCCAAGUGGGAUUAGGUAGUUGGUGAGGUAAAGGCUCACCAAGCCGACGAUCUCUAGCUGGUCUGAGAGGAUGACCAGCCACGCUGGGACUGAGACACGGCCCAGACUCCUACGGGAGGCAGCAUG